UUUAGGAGAAAUGGAGUGUUUUAAAGGAGUAGAGAAAUGAAGGAAUAAAAAUUAGGAGUUCUUUGUAAAGUUGAGAGAUGGUCAAACUUCCUCCCGAACUCUGCAAACUCUUGAUAUAAUGUCCAUGGAAUUGGCAAAAGGGUAACAAAAAAGUGAGGGCCACCAGGGGAGACGAGAAGCUACGCCGACUCGAGCUUUCCGUGCAAUGUUUGGUGCCCAUCCCAUCAAGUUGUCGCAUUUUUUCCGUACUUACUUGUGACCGUUGUGCUUGCUGAUUCUUCUGAUCUUCGAUCAUCAUGGCAUUUACGCAGGCCAGCAGGUACUGCCAGUCAGCAAUGAGUAAAUCAGCGCUCAGAGAAGGGAUAACGCGGCACCAGGAGGCAGGAAACCAACCGUUCCUGUCUAUAUCCCAGUUCAAGACAAACUUCUGGUCGUGAUUGGGGAUAACAACACCUCAAUUUCAGGUGUUGAGAAUGCCUGUGACUGAGAACAACCAACAGCUGUUAUCAAUGUUCCUGUAGGUUGGUGCAGCAAGCUAUGGCAGGAAAACCAGAACAUCGAACUGCUGCAGAGGGAUAAUAACUUCUAGUGCACCCAUCCUCUGCAUCAUUGCAGGAUCUUGCCAAGAUGACAUUUGAGGAGUUCCAUCACCUGUCUGAGAAAGAGAAAAAUAGAUAGGGCUCAGUAUGUUGAUAUGCAAUACAAACUAGCUCAAAUAUUAAAAAAAGUCAUUCUUUACCAUCUCCUCUUUCAGUAAUAUUAUACUAUUUUAUUUUCAUUUUGUAUGGUAACCGUGGCAUAGUAAUAAGGGGCAAGCCGGGCAAAUGCCCUGGGCAGCACAUUUCUCAGUGGGCGGCACAAGCAAGGCUACUGAGAGUAUUGGUGUUCAGACUGUUAUUUUAGAAUUUGCAACAUUGAAGGCAUGCAAAAUAAUGAUUUAAAGUUGAUGUAUGUAUAAUAUAAUAUGUAUACAUAAUACACAAAUGCUUAAUUUUACAUUUUGAUUAUUUUUGGGUGCAGCAUUUCCAGGUAAAUCUAUCUCUCACUAUGCCGCUGUAUGAAAGGGCUGUGGUAUUUAACAGAGUAUAAAAUAUUGUGAUGUGU
rnacentral:lncRNA from 1 species